AACGAGACCUUAACCUGCUAAAUAGUCCGGCCGGCUUUUGCUGGUCGCAGACUUCUUAGAGGGACUGUCAGCGUCUAGCUGACGGAAGUUUGAGGCAAUAACAGGUCUGUGAUGCCGUUAGAUGUUCUGGGCCGCACGCGCGCUACACUGACAGAGCCAGCGAGUUCUCACCUUGGCCGGAAGGUCUGGGUAAUCUUGUGAAACU
rnacentral:rRNA from 1 species